UACGUAGGGGGCAAGCGUUAUCCGGAUUUACUGGGUGUAAAGGGAGCGUAGACGGCAGAGCAAGUCUGAAGUGAAAGCCCGCGGCCCAACUGCGGGACUGCUUUGGAAACUGCCCGGCUAGAGUGCUGGAGAGGUAAGCGGAAUUCCUAGUGUAGCGGUGAAAUGCGUAGAUAUUAGGAGGAACACCAGUGGCGAAGGCGGCUUACUGGACAGUAACUGACGUUGAGGCUCGAAAGCGUGGGGAGCGAGCAGG
rnacentral:rRNA from 1 species